AAGAACCUUACCAGGUCUUGACAUCCCGAUGCUAUUCUAGAGAUAGAAAGUUACUUCGGUACAUCGGCGACAGGUGGUGCAUGGUUGUCGUCAGCUCGUGUCGUGAGAUGUUGGGUUAAGUCCCGCAACGAGCCGCAACCCUUAUCUUUAAUUGCCAGCAUUCAGUUGGGCACUUUAAGAGACUGCCGGUGUUAAACCGGAGGAAGGUGGGAUGACGUCAAGUCCUCAUGGCCUUUAUGCUUAGGGCUACACACGUGCUACAAUGGGUGGUACAACGAGUUGCGAGUCGGUGACGGCGAGCUAAUCUCUUAAAGCCAAUCUCAGUUCGGAUUGUAGGCUGCAACUCGCCUACAUGAAGUCGGAAUCGCUAGUAAUCGCGAAUCAGCAUGUCGCGGUGAAUGCGUUCCCGGGCCUU
rnacentral:rRNA from 1 species